CUGCCACCUAGAGGGAACCGCGAGGUGCAUUGUGGGUGGGGGAGGAGACACGGUUGGGCCCUGAAGUCGCCUGCGUGGUGACCCAGGAAAUCCCCGAGCCGAGCCGUAAGGUCCUUAAGUGAGUAACUUUGCCCUGGAGGAAAGUGGAUUCUACGAAGGGAGUUAAGAACAGACACUGAGUCCCAGCAACUCUGGAGGCUGAGGCGGGAGCAUCGCUUGAGCCCAGGAGUUCGAGGCAGCCGUGAGCCGUAAUCGUGUCGCGCCACUGUACUCAAGCCUCCAGACCGGGCGACAGAGCAAGACCCCGAGACCCCUCCCAUUAAAAAAAAAUGAACACUGUACGAAACGCUGCGGUUUCAGAGCUGGAAGAGACCUCAGACAUUCAAUCCCUUUUCCCAAAAUUCACUGGAAGAGCUCGAGGAAAACUUUCCCUUGCAGCUGUCUCAGUCUUUACAGUGCUUAGUUACGAAGACAGUCUUAACAGUCCCAUCUUUCGCCCUGUAAUUCAAGGUCAUUUUUCAUUCUUUCUGUUUAAUAAUUGCAAAUAAUUUGGGUAGGAAUUUCGUUGAGCCUCACAAAUCGUUGCUGAGUUGCACAGUGACAAUCUUGCCACCCUUUUAAAGCCUUUUACUUUAUGGGUUCCUAGAAAACCACUCAUCGUCAUUAUUAACAUUCAUUAGAUGUUUCUCUUAAAUCCUAGACGGUAUUCCUAAAUCAGGAAUUUUAAUAGAUCAGAAUACGGCAGUCUGUUUUCCUGGGCAUCAAUUAUAAUAUAACCUUGUACUGUCACACUGGUCUUUGACUUCGACGAUGAAAAAGAAAGAAAGGCUCAGAAAGAUGGGUCCCGGAAGCAGCCGAGGAAAACAGGUAGUUAUCAAGGUUAGAGCCAUCACAAAGAGAGGAGUACCUCGCUAUGUGAUAAACCUGCAACCCAAAUACUAACCAUACCAUGGGUCAGUAUGGUCGUUUGAAGGGAGGGAAAUGGUAUGGGUGUAUUCCUCUUGCAGGAAGACCCCAUAUCUACUUUGGGUAAAGUGAGGAGCCAUUUUCCUGAGGCUAGCGGUAGGUGGGAGAUAUAUGGACAAUGGCACUGGACUGAGAGCUUAGAUAACCUGUCCCUGGUGACUCCUGACCUGCAGCCUUGCUCCCUCUUUCCCUCUCACCAGACUCCCUCCCUUCUUCAGAUCAGGUGACACAAACGAUUUUUUUUCUGUUUUUUUGACACACAGUCUUGGUUUGUUGCCCAAGCUGGAGGGCAGUGGUGCGAUCACAGCUGACCCUAACUUCGACCUUAAGGUUCAAGAGACUCUCCUGCCUCAGUCUCCAGAGUAGCUAGUACCACCAACAUGGGCCACCAUACCCAGCUAAUUUUUAUUUUUUGUAGAAUGAGAUCUUA
rnacentral:lncRNA from 10 species